GAUGAACGCUGGCGGCGUGCCUAAUACAUGCAAGUCGAGCGAAUGGAUUAAGAGCUUGCUCUUAUGAAGUUAGCGGCGGACGGGUGAGUAACACGUGGGUAACCUGCCCAUAAGACUGGGAUAACUCCGGGAAACCGGGGCUAAUACCGGCUAACAUUUUGAACCGACUGGUUCGAAAUUGAAAGGCCGCUUCGGCUGUCACUGCUGGCUGGACCCGGGGCGCAUUAGCUAGUUGGUGAGGUAACGGCUAACAAAGGCAACGAUGCGUAGCCGACCUGAGAGGGUGAUCGGCCACACUGGGACUGAGACACGGCCCAGACUCCUACGGGAGGCAGCAGUAGGGAAUCUUCCGCAAUGGACGAAAGUCUGACGGAGCAACGCCGCGUGAGUGAUGAAGGCUUUCGGGUCGUAAAACUCUGUUGUUAGGGAAGAACAAGUGCUAGUUGAAUAAGCUGGCACCUUGACGGUACCUAACCAGAAAGCCACGGCUAACUACGUGCCAGCAGCCGCGGUAA
rnacentral:rRNA from 1 species